rnacentral:rRNA from 1 species
CGACUGAUUAGAAGCUUGCUUCUAUGACGUUAGCGGCGGACGGGUGAGUAACACGUGGGCAACCUGCCUGUAAGACUGGGAUAACUUCGGGAAACCGAAGCUAAUACCGGAUAGGAUCUUCUCCUUCAUGGGAGAUGAUUGAAAGAUGGUUUCGGCUAUCACUUACAGAUGGGCCCGCGGUGCAUUAGCUAGUUGGUGAGGUAACGGCUCACCAAGGCAACGAUGCAUAGCCGACCUGAGAGGGUGAUCGGCCACACUGGGACUGAGACACGGCCCAGACUCCUACGGGAGGCAGCAGUAGGGAAUCUUCCGCAAUGGACGAAAGUCUGACGGAGCAACGCCGCGUGAGUGAUGAAGGCUUUCGGGUCGUAAAACUCUGUUGUUAGGGAAGAACAAGUACGAGAGUAACUGCUCGUACCUUGACGGUACCUAACCAGAAAGCCACGGCUAACUACGUGCCAG